rnacentral:rRNA from 1 species
UAUACGGGAGGCAGCAGUAGGGAAUCUUCCACAAUGGACGAAAGUCUGAUGGAGCAACGCCGCGUGAGUGAAGAAGGGUUUCGGCUCUUUUUACUCUGUUGUUAAAGAAGAAUAUAUCUGAGAGUAACUGUUCAGGUAUUGACGGUAUUUAACCAGAAAGCCACGGCUAACUACGUGCCAGCAGCCGCGG